rnacentral:rRNA from 1 species
GAUGAACGCUAGCGGCAGGCUUAACACAUGCAAGUCGAGGGGUAUAGUUCUUCGGAGCUAGAGACCGGCGCACGGGUGCGUAACGCGUAUGCAAUCUACCUUUUACAGAGGGAUAGCCCAGAGAAAUUUGGAUUAAUACCUCAUAGUAUGUGAGAAUCGCAUGGUUUUCACAUUAAAGUUCCAACGGCAAAAGAUGAGCAUGCGUCCCAUUAGCUAGUUGGUAAGGUAACGGCUUACCAAGGCGACGAUGGGUAGGGGUCCUGAGAGGGAGAUCCCCCACACUGGUACUGAGACACGGACCAGACUCCUACGGGAGGCAGCAGUGAGGAAUAUUGGACAAUGGGCGCAAGCCUGAUCCAGCAAUGCCGCGUGCAGGAAGAAGGCCUUCGGGUUGUAAACUGUCUUUUGUACGGAACGAAACGGUCUGGGCUAAUACCCCGGGCUAAUGACGGUACCGUAAGAAUAAGCACCGGCUAACUACGUG